rnacentral:tRNA from 1 species
GGUGUUGUAGCUCAAUGGUAGAGUGCUUGCUUAGCUCGCAUGAGACCCUAGAUUCUAUCCCCAGCAGCCCCC